rnacentral:rRNA from 1 species
CGGAGGGUGCAGGCGUUAUCCGGAUUCACUGGGUUUAAAGGGAGCGUAGGUGGCUUUGUAAGUCAGUGGUGAAAUAUUGCGGCUCAACCGCAAAACUGCCAUUGAUACUGCUUAGCUUGAAUCACGUCGAGGUGGAUGGAAUAAUACAUGUAGCGGUGAAAUGCUUAGAUAUGUAUUAGAACACCGAUUGCGAAGGCAGUUCACUAGGCGUGUAUUGACACUGAGGCUCGAAAGCGUGGGGAUCAAACAGGAUUAGAUACCCUGGUAGUCCACGCCCUAAACGAUGUAAACUCGACAUUAGCGAUAUACUGUUAGUGUCCAAGCGAAAGCGUUAAGUUUACCACCUGGGAAGUACGACCGCAAGGUUG